CCCUGGCUGGGCUCUGGUGCUGCCCAAGGUGGAUCCAUGGAGGAGAUCCUUUGAAUAAAUCCCUGCUUUAUUCUGUAACUCUGCCCAGCCUCUAGGUCAGCCUGCACAAGGCAGCAGUUCCAAGAGAAAAGCUGGACCAGUUCAGUCUCCUUGAGCUGAAUUUUGGGUUUUUCCCUCCUCCGAGGCACCUCAACUGUGAAGGUGUCACCACCAUCCCACAGAUGUCCAUCCACAAAACUUCCCAGUAUUUCCCAACAUAACAGCAAAUGACAGCUUGGAGUGGAAAAUUAAAAUUUCUCUUCACUUCUCUGCUAUGGCAAAGAGGAUUUUUGGGUCAAAGACCAGGAAAUAGCUGAAGAUCAAAAUUAAAGAGCUGAUUUUUCUGCGCUUCUCUUUUGCUCUUGGUUUGUUUUCUUCUCCCUUGGAUGUCAGGAGAGAAUAUUCCUUGAAAAACCAUGUGCCAGUGGGAUGCUUCUGUGGAAGAUUUGCUGUGCAGGAUGACAGUAGCAGUGGAUGAAAACGCAAAUUCCACCAGCCCAGGAAUCCUCCAGCUGGCCAUGACCUGUGUGGGGAUAUAAACAUUAUCACGCUCCACUUUGGAGUUUGGGAACUCCAAAGGUCUCCAUGAGGCAGGGAGAGGGGAGAUUUUGGGAGCUCCAAAGGUCUCCAUGAGGCAGGGAGAGGGAAGAGUUUGGAAACUCCAAAGGUCUCCAUGAGGCAGGGAGAGGGGAGAAGAGUUUGGGAACUCCAAAGGUCUCCAUGAGGCAGGGAGAGGGGAGAAGAGUUUGGGAACUCCAAAGGUCUCCAUGAGGCAGGGAGAGAGGAGAAGAGUUUGGGAAUUCCAAAGGUCUCCAUGAGGCAGGGAGAGGGGAGAUUUUGGGAAUUCCAAAGGUCUCCAUGAGGCAGGGUGAGGGGUGAAGAGUUUGGGAACUCCAAAGGUCUCCAUGAGGCAGGGAGAGGGGAGAAGAGUUUGGGAACUCCAAAGGUCUCCAUGAAGCAGGGAGAGGGAAGAGUUAGGGAACUCCGAAGGUCUCCAUGAGGCAGGGAGAGGGGAGAUUUUGGGAACUCCAAUGGUCUCCAUGAGGCAGGGAGAGGGGAGAAGAGUUUGGGAACUCCAAAGGUCUAAAUGAGGCAGGGAGAGGGGAGAUUUUGGGAACUCCAAAGGUCUCCACGAGGCAGCAAAAGCAUGGCAAUGCCCUUCCCCACUGGUUUCACUGCAGAAGGCUGGAGCAAGGAAGGGAAAAUGUGCCAAGAGCCCCAGAGGAGCCGUGAGACGAGGGCAGGGCGUGGAAGGGAUCCCAGCAAGGGGAAGCCAAACAAGAGCAGCAGGGAGCAGAGCAAGAAGGAGCAAGUCCUUUAUGCAACUGGAGAGGAGCGAGGGCGCCGGGUUCAGCGGGUUCCUCUCCUUCCUCCACGCUGCCUGGCUGCACUCGGGAGCUGUUUUCACUUUUAUUUACAUAAGAAAGGUCUGCAGUGAGUUGCUCUUGGCAAGGCUCACCCCGCAGAGCUUGCCCGAGCAUGUGGGAGAAUAAAAGAAUUUCUUUUCAAAGCCUUGGAGUCAUCGGAUUCUUGUGAAAUCCGCUCCUUUUCUCUUGAGGGAAGCUGCACCGGCCCCGUGUGCUGUGCAGUUCCUGCAGCCAGGGAAAUACCCGCGGCUCGGGCUGUGUCCUCUCCUAGCAGGAGGGAGGAGAGGUUGUUUUCUGAGGAAAAGAGAGCUUUGGAGCUGGGAUUAUGUUUUUAUAGAAACUAAUAAUAAAUCAUGUGGUUCUCUGGGGAGAAAUUUGGUGAUGAGCUUCUUUCCUCAGUGGGAAGCAAGGCAUGGUGAUGAUGAUGAUGCACCAAAAUAAAAUGUAACAUCAGCCUGA